rnacentral:rRNA from 1 species
GAUGAACGCUGGCGGCGUGCCUAAUACAUGCAAGUCGAACGAAACUUCUUUAUCACCGAGUGCUUGCACUCACCGAUAAAGAGUUGAGUGGCAAACGGGUGAGUAACACGUGGGCAGCCUGCCCAAAAGAGGGGGAUAACACUUGGAAACAGGUGCUAAUACCGCAUAACCAUAGUUACCGCAUGGUAACUAUGUAAAAGGUGGCUAUACUACCGCUUUUGGAUGGGCCCGCGGCGCAUUAGCUAGUUGGUAGGGUAAAGGCUUACCAAGGCAAUGAUGCGUAGCCGAAUUGAGAGGUUGAUCGGCCACAUUGGGACUGAGACACGGCCCAAACUCCUACGGGAGGCAGCAGUAGGGAAUCUUCCACAAUGGGCGAAAGCCUGAUGGAGCAACGCCGCGUGGGUGAAGAAGGUCUUCGGAUCGUAAAACCCUGUUGUUAGAGAAGAAAGUGCGUGAGAGUAACUGUUCACGUUUCGACGGUAUCUAACCAGAAAGCCACGGCUAACUACGUG